rnacentral:rRNA from 1 species
UAAUAGCUCACUGGUCGAGUGAUCCUGCGCCGAAGAUUUCCGGGGCUAAAACUUACUACCGAAGCUACGGCAUCAGUAAUGAUGGGUAGGGGAGCUUCCCAUACGGGUUGAAGCAUGACCGUAAGGACAGGUGGACAGUAUGGGAGUGAGAAUGUUGGCAUGAGUAGCGAGAUGUGGGUGGGAAUCCCACAGGCCGUAAACCCAAGGUUUCCAGGGGAAGGUUCGUCCGCCCUGGGUUAGUCGGGACCUAAGCUGAGGCCGAAAGGCGUAGGUGAUGGACAACAGGUUGAUAUUCCUGUACUACCGAUAACCGUUUGAGAGAAGGGAUGACACAGUAGGAUAAGCUAAGCACACUG